rnacentral:rRNA from 1 species
GCAUGGUCUUAGCUUGCUAAGGCCGAUGGCGACCGGCGCACGGGUGAGUAACACGUAUCCAACCUGCCGUCUACUCUUGGACAGCCUUCUGAAAGGAAGAUUAAUACAAGAUGGCAUCAUGAGUCCGCAUGUUCACAUGAUUAAAGGUAUUCCGGUAGACGAUGGGGAUGCGUUCCAUUAGAUAGUAGGCGGGGUAACGGCCCACCUAGUCUUCGAUGGAUAGGGGUUCUGAGAGGAAGGUCCCCCACAUUGGAACUGAGACACGGUCCAAACUCCUACGGGAGGCAGCAGUGAGGAAUAUUGGUCAAUGGGCGAGAGCCUGAACCAGCCAAGUAGCGUGAAGGAUGACUGCCCUAUGGGUUGUAAACUUCUUUUAUAAAGGAAUAAAGUCGGGUAUGGAUACCCGUUUGCAUGUACUUUAUGAAUAAGGAUCGGCUAACUCCGUGCCAGCAGCCGCGGUAAUACGGAGGAUCCGAGCGUUAUCCGGAUUUAUUGGGUUUAAAGGGAGCGUAGAUGGAUGUUUAAGUCAGUUGUGAAAGUUUGCGGCUCAACCGUAAAAUUGCAGUUGAUACUGGAUAUCUUGAGUGCAGUUGAGGCAGGCGGAAUUCGUGGUGUAGCGGUGAAAUGCUUAGAUAUCACGAAGAACUCCGAUUGCGAAGGCAGCCUGCUAAGCUGCAACUGACAUUGAGGCUCGAAAGUGUGGGUAUCAAACAGGAUUAGAUACCCUGGUAGUCCACACGGUAAACGAUGAAUACUCGCUGUUUGCGAUAUACAGCAAGCGGCCAAGCGAAAGCGUUAAGUAUUCCACCUGGGGAGUACGCCGGCAACGGUGAAACUCAAAGGAAUUGACGGGGGCCCGCACAAGCGGAGGAACAUGUGGUUUAAUUCGAUGAUACGCGAGGAACCUUACCCGGGCUUAAAUUGCAGAUGAAUUACGGUGAAAGCCGUAAGCCGCAAGGCAUCUGUGAAGGUGCUGCAUGGUUGUCGUCAGCUCGUGCCGUGAGGUGUCGGCUUAAGUGCCAUAACGAGCGCAACCCUUGUUGUCAGUUACUAACAGGUUCCGCUGAGGACUCUGACAAGACUGCCAUCGUAAGAUGUGAGGAAGGUGGGGAUGACGUCAAAUCAGCACGGCCCUUACGUCCGGGGCUACACACGUGUUACAAUGGGGGGUACAGAGGGCCGCUACCACGCGAGUGGAUGCCAAUCCCAAAAACCUCUCUCAGUUCGGACUGGAGUCUGCAACCCGACUCCACGAAGCUGGAUUCGCUAGUAAUCGCGCAUCAGCCACGGCGCGGUGAAUACGUUCCCGGGCCUUGCACACACCGCCC